rnacentral:rRNA from 1 species
AUAAUGGGUCAGCGACUUAUAUUCUGUAGCAAGGUUAACCGAAUAGGGGAGCCGAAGGGAAACCGAGUCUUAACUGGGCGUUAAGUUGCAGGGUAUAGACCCGAAACCCGGUGAUCUAGCCAUGGGCAGGUUGAAGGUUGGGUAACACUAACUGGAGGACCGAACCGACUAAUGUUGAAAAAUUAGCGGAUGACUUGUGGCUGGGGGUGAAAGGCCAAUCAAACCGGGAGAUAGCUGGUUCUCCCCGAAAGCUAUUUAGGUAGCGCCUCGUGAAUUCAUCUCCGGGGGUAGAGCACUGUUUCGGCAAGGGGGUCAUCCCGACUUACCAACCCGAUGCAAACUGCGAAUACCGGAGAAUGUUAUCACGGGAGACACACGGCGGGUGCUAACGUCCGUCGUGAAGAGGGAAACAACCCAGACCGCCAGCUAAGGUCCCAAAGUCAUGGUUAAGUGGGAAACGAUGUGGGAAGGCCCAGACAGCCAGGAUGUUGGCUUAGAAGCAGCCAUCAUUUAAAGAAAGCGUAAUAGCUCACUGGUCGAGUCGGCCUGCGCGGAAGAUGUAACGGGGCUAAACCAUGCACCGAAGCUGCGGCAGCGACGCUUAUGCGUUGUUGGGUAGGGGAGCGUUCUGUAAGCCUGCGAAGGUGUGCUGUGAGGCAUGCUGGAGGUAUCAGAAGUGCGAAUGCUGACAUAAGUAACGAUAAAGCGGGUGAAAAGCCCGCUCGCCGGAAGACCAAGGGUUCCUGUCCAACGUUAAUCGGGGCAGGGUGAGUCGACCCCUAAGGCGAGGCCGAAAGGCGUAGUCGAUGGGAAACAGGUUAAUAUUCCUGUACUUGGUGUUACUGCGAAGGGGGGACGGAGAAGGCUAUGUUGGCCGGGCGACGGUUGUCCCGGUUUAAGCGUGUAGGCUGGUUUUCCAGGCAAAUCCGGAAAAUCAAGGCUGAGGCGUGAUGACGAGGCACUACGGUGCUGAAGCAACAA